AGUCUUCUGUAUCCGUGCUAAGAUUUCGUCACGCACCAGACCACAAGUACUGAUGAGACUCCUAAAAUAAGUGAAGCG
rfam:Schistosoma mansoni strain Puerto Rico chromosome 2, complete genome